rnacentral:rRNA from 1 species
AUUGAACGCUGGCGGCAGGCUUAACACAUGCAAGUCGAACGAGUGGCGAACGGGUGAGUAACGCAUCGGAACGUACCGAGUAAUGGGGGAUAACUGUCCGAAAGGACAGCUAAUACCGCAUAUUAUUCGAGCGGCCGAUGUCUGAUUAGCUGGUUGGCGGGGUAAAGGCCCACCAAGGCGACGAUCAGUAGCGGGUCUGAGAGGAUGAUCCGGCACACUGGGACUGAGACACGGCCCAGACUCCUACGGGAGGCAGCAGUGGGGAAUAUUGCGCAAUGGGGGCAACCCUGACGCAGCCAUGCCGCGUGAAUGAAGAAGGCCUUCGGGUUGUAAAGUUCUUUCGGUGACGAGGCGUUAAUCACAGAAGAAGCACCGGCUAACUCCGUGCCAGCCGCCGCGGUAAUAC